GACGAACGCUGGCGGCGUGCUUAACACAUGCAAGUCGAACGGUGAGGCCCUGCUCUUGUUGGGUGCUCGAGUGGCGAACGGGUGAGUAACACGUGAGUAACCUGCCCUUGACUGUGGGAGAACUUCAGGAAACUGGGGCUAAUAUCGGACAGGAGCUCCUGCUGCAUGGUGGGGGUUGGAAAGUUUCGGCGGUUGGGGAUGGACUCGCGGCUUAUCAGCUUGUUGGUGGGGUAGUGGCUUACCAAGGCUUUGACGGGUAGCCGGCCUGAGAGGGUGACCGGCCACAUUGGGACUGAGAUGGGGGCCAGACUCCUACGGGAGGCAGCAGUGGGGAAUAUUGCGCAAUGGGCGGAAGCCUGAUGCAGCGACGCCGCGUGCGGGAUGACGGCCUUCGGGUUGUAAACCGCGUUCGCCUGUGACGAAGCGUGAGUGACGGUAAUGGGUAAAGAAGCGCCGGCUAACUACGUG
rnacentral:rRNA from 1 species